GAUCAUGGCUCAGGAUGAACGCUAGCCACAGGCUUAACACAUGCAAGUCGAGGGGCAUCAGAUCGAAAGCUUGCUUUGAUGCUGGCGACCGGCGCACGGGUGAGUAACGCGUAUCCAACCUUCCCCAUAGUAGAGAAUAGCCCGGCGAAAGUCGGAUUAAUGCUCUAUGUUGUAUCAUGAGGACAUCUGAAUAAUACCAAAGGUUCACCGCUAUGGGAUGGGGAUGCGUCUGAUUAGGUUGUUGGCGGGGUAACGGCCCACCAAGCCCACGAUCAGUAGGGGUUCUGAGAGGAAGGUCCCCCACAUUGGAACUGAGACACGGUCCAAACUCCUACGGGAGGCAGCAGUGAGGAAUAUUGGUCAAUGGACGGAAGUCUGAACCAGCCAAGUAGCGUGCAGGAUGACGGCCCUAUGGGUUGUAAACUGCUUUUAUACAGGGAUAAAGUGAGGGACGUGUCCCUUUUUGUAGGUACUGUAUGAAUAAGGACCGGCUAAUUCCGUGCCAGCAGCUGC
rnacentral:rRNA from 1 species